GAUUUCUGAUUUAAUAUGCUUAGCCCGCUACGGUUACGUAUGUGAGUGCUGAGUUCGUAUUUAUCAUCCUUCUAGAAAACAAUAGUUUGCUCUUUAUUGAGUAAUACUAUGCAAUCUAGAUCUUUUACUUUGAAAAAAUUAGAGUGUUUAAAGCAGGCUUUUUGCUAUGAAUACGUUAGCAUGGAAUAAUAAUUUAGGAUUUCGGUUCUAUUUUGUUGGUUUCUAGUACUGAAGUAAUGAUUGAUAGGGAUAGUUGGGGGUGCUCGUAUUCAUACGCCAGGGGUGAAAUCCUCGGAUUGUAUGAAGACGAACUUAUGCGAAAGCAUU
rnacentral:rRNA from 2 species